rnacentral:rRNA from 1 species
GACGUAGGGUGCGAGCGUUGUCCGGAUUUAUUGGGCGUAAAGAGCUCGUAGGCGGCUCGUCGCGUCGACCGUGAAAACCCGCAGCUUAACUGCGGGCUUGCGGUUGAUACGGGCGGGCUAGAGUUCGGUAGGGGAGACUGGAAUUCCCGGUGUAGAGGUGAAAUUCGUAGAUAUCGGGAGGAACACCGGUGGCGAAGGCGGCGACCUGGGUAGAUACUGACGCUGAGACGCGAAAGCGUGGGGAGCGAACAGG